CCAGACUCCUACGGGAGGCAGCAGUGGGGAAUAUUGGACAAUGGGGGCAACCCUGAUCCAGCGACGCCGCGUGAGUGAAGAAGUAUUUCGGUAUGUAAAGCUCUAUCGAUAACGGAAGAAGAUGACAAGCCGUUAAGGAAGAAGCCCCGGCUAACUACGUGCCAGCAGCCGCGGUAAUACGUAGGGGGCAAGCGUUAUCCGGAUUUACUGGGUGUAAAGGGAGCGCAGACGGCCAAGCAAGUCUGAAGUGAAAUGCGUGGGCUCAACCCAUGAAUUGCUUUGGAAACUGUUAGGCUUGAGUGUCGGAGGGGUAAGCGGAAUUCCUAGUGUAGCGGUGAAAUGCGUAGAUAUUAGGAGGAACACCGGAGGCGAAGGCGGCUUACUGGACGACAACUGACGUUGAGGCUCGAAGGCGUGGGGAGCAAACAGGAUUAGAUACCCUGGUAGUCCACGCAGUAAACGAUGAAUACUUGGUGUCGGGGAGUAAACUCUUCGGUGCCGCAAGCAAACGCAUUAAGUAUUCCACCUGGGGAGUACGUUCGCAAGAAUGAAACUCAAAGGAAUUGACGGGGGCCCGCACAAG
rnacentral:rRNA from 1 species